rnacentral:rRNA from 1 species
AUUGAACGCUGGCGGCAGGCCUAACACAUGCAAGUCGAACGGAGUGGCGGACGGGUGAGUAACGCGUAGGUAACUGCAUCAUAGGGGGGGAAAACUCUGGGAAACGAAAGCAAAUACCGCAUAUUUUGAGAGGGGCCUGCAUUGUAUUGGCUAGUUGGUGAGGUAAAGGCUACACAAGGCGGAGAUACAUAGCCGACAUGAGAGGGUGAUCGGCCACACUGGGAAUGGGGCACGGCCCAGACUCCUACGGGAGGCCACAGGAGGGAAUCUGCGGCAAUUGACGGAAGGCUGACCGCGCAACGGCGCGGGGGUGGAGAAGGUUUUCGGAUCGUAAAGCUCUGUUGUGAGAGAAGCGGUAACUAACCAGAAAGGGACGGCUAACUACGUGCCAGCAGCCGCGGUAAUUC